UCUGAAAUGCGCGAUUACAGCGCCUCAACGGUGAAAUAUGCAAUAUACUUCCUACGAUUCUCGAAAUAAUCGAUAUUUCGCAUGAUCGAUUUUUAAACGGAAAUCAUGGCGGAAAAAAGCACGCUUCAUCUGUAAAGAAGAAAUGUUAUCUAGAAAAGUCAUCCAGGAAGAAGUAUUAUCCAGAAGUUCUCAGUUAUCAUUUCGUGCGGAACGAGCGAUUACAACGCCCCAACGGUGAAAUACGCAAUAUACUUCCUACGAUUCUCGAAAUAAUCGAUAUUUCUCAUGAUCGAUCUUUAACUGGAAAUUGGCGGUUAAAAAUGGCGGAGAGUAGCACACCUCACCUGUAAAGAAAGACGUAUUAUCAGAAAAAUUACCCUGAAAGUGUCACCCAGAAGUUCUUAGUAAAGCGUAGAAGGCCUUGAAGCUCGAAAUUCAAAACAACAACACAAUGUUUAUGUUCGUACUAUCGUGCCUCGGUCAGGAUCACCCCAUCCCCUACUACUUUCAAUUGAAGGACAAGACGUGUUGCGGGAAGUCAUUCGGCUAUGGAAUUUCGUGACAGCAACACGUAUUACGUUAUAUUAGGUUAUUCCUUGGUUGCAAAGAUAGAAUGCAUAGACACCAUGAUCAUCAUUGGACAAUCUGAUGAAUUUUCGUGCAAAGUUGGUAACAUUUUAUUCCUUUUAAAUA